GAUAUUAAUUUAAAGUUUAACCUGCCCACUGAAUUUAUAAAUUUAAAUGGCCGCAGUAUUUUGACUGUGCAAAGGUAGCAUAAUCAUUAGUUUCUUAAUUAGAAACUAGAAUGAAAGGUUGGACAAGAAAAUAACUGUCUCUUUAUAAUUUUUAUAGAAUUUUAUUUUUAAGUUAAAAAGCUUAAAUUUUAUUAAAAGACGAGAAGACCCUAUAGAAUUUUAUAUAAUUAUUUAUAUAUUAAUAUAAUUUUUAUUUUUAAAAUUUAUAUAUUUAGUUAUAUUAAGUUGGGGCGAUUAAAAAAUUUAAUUAACUUUUUUUAUUUAAAAACAUUAAUUUAUGAAUUUUUGAUCCAUUAAUUAUGAUUAUAAGAUAAAAUUACCUUAGGGAUAACAGCGUAAUUUUUUUGGAGAGUUCUAAUCAAUAAAAAAGUUUGCGACCUCGAUGUUGGAUUAAAAUUAAAAUUUGGUGUAGAAGCUAAAUUAUUUAGGUCUGUUCGACCUUUAAAAUUUUACAUGAUCUGAGUUUAAACCGGUGUGAGCCAGGUUGGUUUCUAUCUUUAAUGAUAAUUAUAAUAUUUUAGUACGAAAGGACCAAAUAUUAUUAAAAAUUAAUUUAAAUUAAUGAAUUUUAUUAAUUUUUUA
rnacentral:rRNA from 1 species